CGGUAAUGUCUCCUCACCGUUAUCAAUGGAGGCACUCGGCCAUGCUGUGGGUUACGAAAAACCUUAGACGCGAGUCGUCAAGAGUGUGGUGUGAGGCGGGGUUGAAUGCCCU
rfam:Bacillus sp. FJAT-26390 scaffold3, whole genome shotgun sequence.